UUCUGGUUACCCAUCAGAAAGAGGAUCAUCUAUUUCUGAGCCUCAGUUGACUGUGGGUAACCGGAAUUGUGGAAAGUAUAACUGAGGAUAAUAAGGGACUAUUGUACCUGAGGAAGAGAUUGGAAUUCAAUUCAGAAAAUUGAGAGAUGGGCUCUGAUUGGUUCAUUCUGAGCCGUAAAUCCUGUGAGUAAGAUACUGUGAUUAAUAUGGGAGGAACUGGGGUGAGGUGCUAAGAGCGAAGGGAGAAAAAAACUUGCAGAAAUUGAUUUCCUGAGGUUCUCUGAAGGUACCAUCUUUUUCUACACCAUCAGGUGGAACUGCAUUUUUAACAGGAACCAAUCUCUGUGCAUGCUUUGAUCUUCUAAACAGGAAAGACAAUUUGAGGGCUGAAUAUUUAUCUAACGAGUUCAGUGGAGCCAAUGAAGAUAAUUCAGGACUCUAUGAAGCCUAGGUGACAGUGUGACCAAAAGUAUGGAAGACGACCACCCCAUGUUUCGAUAGAGUUGCCAUCCACACUUGGAGAGUUUUCUGGUUUAGAAAUGCUACGGCCCUGAUGGCGGCAUCCUCUCCAGGACUGGGGUCAAGGGUGAAAGGGAGCUGCUGCCCUCCAGCGGCUUUCCCAGUAAUUACACCAGUGACUGUGUCCAAGCUCCUAGGGAGGCUUCCUGAGGAUUUCCAGAGAACCUCAAGCAAGGCAGAAGAGGAAGAGGGAGGAUUUGCCCAGAGCAAGAGGCAGGAGAAUUUCAGAUAUUACUAUUGAUGUGACCCUAACAGUAUUCUCAGCUUGGUGAAACCUGGAGAAAUAUGGACCACAUGAGUUGUAGGUUUUCAGUGAGAACAUGUUUUAUAACCAGAGAAGGUAUACGUUUAAGACAGAGAAUAAGAAUUUAAACAUUUAUGUUAGACUGAGAAAGGACCAUGCAACUGAGAAAUGCAGACUUAUUAAAGACGAAGGGGUUAAACAUUUUGAUAUCAAGAAUUACAUAAAAGGUUGAAAUUUUACUAAAGGUGGGAAGGAUAUUGAGAACCUGGAACCCUAGUGCAUCGCUGGCAGGAAUGUAAAAUGGCUUAGCUCCUAUGCAAAAACAGUAUGACAGUGCCUCAAAAAAUUAAACAUAGAAUUACCAUGUGAUCCAGCAAUUUCACUUAGGUAUAUACACAAAAGAAUCAAAAGCAGGGACUGGAGCAGACAUUUGCACAUCCUCAUUCGUAGCAGCAUUAUUUGUAAUAGCCAAAAAGUAGAAAUAACCCCAAUGUCCAUCCACAAAUGAGUGGAUAUGGUAUAUGCCUAUCAUGGAAUAUUAUUCAGCCUUAAAAAGGAAGGAAAUCCUGACACAUGCCACAACAUGGAUGAACGUUGAGGGCUUUAUGCUAAGCCCAAUAAGACAGACACAAAGACAAAUAUUGUAUAAUUCCAUUUAUAGGAGGGACCUAGAAUAGACAAAUUCAUAGACAGAAAGUAUGAAGUGGGUUACCAGGGAUUAGGGAGGAGUGGAGAAUGGAGAGUUAUAAUUUACUGGGUGCAGAAUUUGGUUUGGGAUGAUGAAAAAGUUCUGAAAAUAGAUAUUGGUGCUAGUUAUACAACAUGGUGAUGUAUAUACUGCUACUGAAUUAUACACUUAAAAAUGGUUAAAAUGGUAAAUUUUAUGUCAUGUAUAUUUUAUUACCAUGUAAAAUUUAUAUAAGUAAAAUGAUUUCAUGACUUUAUCUCUAAAGAAAUAUGAAACGUUCCUUUUGUGUGCUUUUUAAAAUUGUUCUUUGGACGUUAUUAGCUGAUUUUUAUUACACAAAGAAAACAUUUUUAGGAUAUUGCUAUUAUAUAUUUUAAAAUAAGGUUAUAAUUUCACGGCCUUAAGCAUAAAUUCUUUGGGUGUGUGCCAUGGCCAGAUGAAAUAAAAUUGAAAGCUAGAGGUUUCCCACCCAUCUUUUAGAGAAAUAGCAUUUUAAGGAUUUUAUACUAUGUUUUUAUUUACCAGGUAGUUCUUGGCAUAGAGGGUAAACUUAAAGAUACUGUAAGUGAGCUACUCCCAACUAAAUUAAUAGUUUGGCUUGAUUCAUGAUUACUAUAUUUUACUUUGAUUAUAAUUAGAGAAAAUAAAGUGAUUGUAAAUAGAAGUCUAUAUAAAAGCAUAUUAAAAAUUGGUUCCUGAAAUAGCCCCAAAGUGGAAAAUAAUAUAUCUUACUGCUACUGAAAUUUGUAGUUUUUUUAAACAUAGGAGAAAGGGUGUCUUAUAGCAGGAGAACCUAUGAAGUUGUCCAAAGUGUUCAAAUCAGGAGAUCUGAGUUCAGAUUUACUUGGCCAUUUGUGAGCCUAACCGUACCCAGCACAAUGCCUGGAACAUAGUAGGUGGGCAGUAAAUAUGUAAUGAAUAAGUGGAUGGCAAGUGAAUGUCACUUCCUCUCUCUGAACUUCAAUUUUCUCAUUGGAAUAAGGAGGGAUAUGGACAAGGUGAGUCAGUCUCAACUCCAGUUGCACAUUAAAAUCACGUGUAGAGCUUUUAAAACUGCUGAUACUGGCAGCCCUAAAGAGGAAUGAAUUCUGACACAUGCUACAACACGGAUGAACCUUGAAGAUGUUAUGCUAAGUGAAAGUAGCCAGUCACACACACAAAAAACCCCACUAAUAUUGUAUGAUUCCACUUGCAUGAAGUACUUAGCAUAGUCAAACACAAAGACAGAAAAUAGCAGGGAUUACCAAGAGCGGGGAGAAGGAGGGAAUGGGGACUUAUGGGCGGUUUUUUGUUGCUGUUGUUUGUUUUUAAAGAUUUUAUUUACUUAUUUGACAGAGCCAGAGAACAGAAGCAAGGAGAGCAGUGGAGGGAGAGGGAGAAGCAAGCUCCCCGCUGAGCAGGGAGCCCAAUGUGGGGCUCGAUCCCAGGAUCCUGGGAUCAUGACCUGAAAAAAAGGCAGAUGCUUAAUCAACUGAGCCACCCAGGCGCCCCAGGAGUUACGUUUUAAUAGGUACAGUUUCUGUUUGGGAAGAUGAAGAGUUUCUCGAGGUAGAUGGUGGUGAUUGCUGCAUGACACUAUGAAUGUACUUAAAGCUACCGAGCUGUACACUUAAAGAUGGUGAGCUCUGGGCAGCCCGGGUGGCUCAGCGGUUUAGCGCCGCCUUCAGCCCAGGGCGUGAUCCUGGGGACCCGGGACCGAGUCCCACGUCGGGCUCCCUGC